CAGCAGCCGCGGUAAUACGAGGGGGGCAAGCGUUGUUCGGAAUUAUUGGGCGUAAAGGGUGCGUAGGCGGUUUGGCAAGUUUGGUGUGAAAUCUUCGGGCUCAACUCGAAGUCUGCAUCGAAAACUGCCGGGCUUGAGUAUGGGAGAGGUGAGUGGAAUUUCCGGUGUAGCGGUGAGAUGCGUAGAUAUCGGAAGGAACACCUGUGGCGAAAGCGGCUCACUGGACCAUAACUGACGCUGAUGCACGAAAGCUAGGGGAGCAAACAGGAUUAGAUACCCGUGUAGUCCCUGUCUCUUAUAA
rnacentral:rRNA from 1 species